rnacentral:rRNA from 1 species
UGGGGAAUUUUGGACAAUGGGCGAAAGCCUGAUCCAGCAAUGCCGCGUGUGUGAAGAAGGCCUUCGGGUUGUAAAGCACUUUUGUCCGGAAAGAAAUCCUUGGCUCUAAUACAGUCGGGGGAUGACGGUACCGGAAGAAUAAGCACCGGCUAACUACGUGCCAGCAGCCGCGGUAAUACGUAGGGUGCAAGCGUUAAUCGGAAUUACUGGGCGUAAAGCGUGCGCAGGCGGUCCGCUAAGACAGAUGUGAAAUCCCCGGGCUUAACCUGGGAACUGCAUUUGUGACUGGCGGGCUAGAGUAUGGCAGAGGGGGGUAGAAUUCCACGUGUAGCAGUGAAAUGCGUAGAGAUGUGGAGGAAUACCGAUGGCGAAGGCAGCCCCCUGGGCCAAUACUGACGCUCAUGCACGAAAGCGUGGGGGAGCAAACAGGAUUAGAUACCCUGGUAGUCCACGCCCUAAACGAUGU